ensembl:lncRNA SILC1 sciatic injury induced lincRNA upregulator of SOX11
AUCCAGAGACCACACUAAAAUGGUGGCUGACGUGGAGACAGAGGAAGCUCCUUUCUAGUUAUGGCCACAAGGCAGGAUGCUGAGGUGUUGUCUAGGCUCAGUUGGAUCUCCAAGUGGCGGUACCGUUCUCUCCACUUCAAAAAUACACAGAAACAUGUGGAAAUGUUCUGUCAUCCAGAAUGAAAAGCAUGUGCACCAAAUUUUCACAGACCUGAUUCGAAUGUAGAUAAAAGUGCAAAAUCCAGAGGAGGGAACACGCUAUAGAAAUCCUGUCUUCUAUACUAUAAUUUAAUCAUCGUGUGCCACAGAAUGUCUUUGCAUAAAUUACAACCACAAUAAUAGCAUCACUUUCACAAAAGGUGGCCUCUAAUCGAUUUGACUCUCCAAGAGAUGGCUGGGUUUUUCAAAGCAGAGAAAUGAUGACCUGCAGUCUUAAAGAGCUGUUGAUUGCACCUGGGGCUCCCGUGGCCGGCGCCCAUCGAGCAGCCCAUCCUGGCUGUUCCCUUGUUCAGCUGAUUUUCUUUUUUAUCUUGACAUUUGCUAACCGCUUGGUUUUUAUUUUCCGGGAAGAGAGGAUUAUUGGCAACUGGCACCACCCCCAUGUCUGGAGGAGGGACGUUUCUAGGAUGACCCCCAGAGUGGAGAAAUAGCCGAGGUAACCUUUUUGCUAUAAAUUUCUUCCCCUGCCUCCGUCUUCUGUUCCUUUCCUUCCCCCCAUCCCUUGAACAAACAUGAUUUUUAAAUUCCCCUCAUCAUUUUUAGUGCUUUGGAGUCUUCUCAGAUGUGGACGAAAACAGUUCGUGAGCUGCGCUGAGCAGUUCCGGAGCCCUGGCUCCCUUUCCCCGGGGCCUAAGCCCCCAAGAAGAGAGUCUUUUUCAGGACCAUGGGAGCAGGUUUUAAAAGGCUUUCUAUUGAAGCGAGGCCGUCAGCCAGCCGUGCGUGUCCGCAUUGUGGUGGUCCCAGAGCCUUAUGGACAAUCCUUUGAAAGAAUAGGGUUGGGAAGAUUCUCAGGACAGAAGCGGCUAAUUUCCAUCCUUGGAGCUUUAUCUCACAAAGGAUAUUUGAUAGAAAGAAAAAAUGGAGUCUGUGGAAGCUUUGCUCCUAUUUCCAAAUGGGUUGACUCUGGAUGCAAAGGAAUAUUUUCACAUUUUUCCCAAUAGAGGAAAGCUUUUAGUGCCAAAAUCCUCAAAGGAGAAUGAACAUCACACAUUACACAUGUAUGUAUAAGGGUAGAAUAAUAUGGUACAAAAUCCAGUGAGUACAAGCACACAAUGGGCAUUCAGUACAGGUUAAAUGAAUAUGCAAGAAAAAUUCAAAGUUGUUGUUGCUGUUUAUAAGGGUGGUGAUUAUUAAUAGAUGCAAAUGUAUACUCCCUUUUGUAAUCACAGCAAGGUAAAAGUCUUAUCUCUGAUCAUUACCAUGAGGACACUUAAAUAUUUAGCCCUGGGGACAAAAUGGUUUGUAGGCAGGACGUCCUGUGUGUUUAUGCACACAUAAAAUGCCGCCCUGGCCCCAGGACUGCAAGGCCUCUGACUGCAUCAUUUACAUUCAGGGGUGGUCCUGAUCAACAUGGCCCCAUAGAAUAAUAGAGGGAAUUUCAGAUAGUACAGCGUUAGAUAAUAAGCGCUUUCCACUGACUCUGUUUACAUGUGGAAAUUAGAAGCGCUGAGUGAAAAAGAGUAGUGAAAAUAAAGACAGGAAGUAUAUACACAACAAACAAUUUUUCCUCUCUGCAAAUCGGAUUAUUCCCUUGCGCACCCCCUGCAACCCCCAUCUAUGAUGUCAAACUCAAUGGACUGUUGAACUAAUAGCCUGGGAGUCACCAGCGUGAGAGUGUGUAUGUCCACGCUGUGCAACUUGAAUUAGGCUGGCCACCACGGCUGUGUACAGCUACCCCAGGAAGAGCCCCUCCCCUCCUCAGCAUUUCAGUGGAAAACGUGCUGACUGGGACCCAGCUACAGGAAUCACAUUUGGGCAGAGAGAAUGGCUUAUCCUUUUCAUGAGGGGUCUUGACUCAAGAACACUUGCCAAUUCUGCUUGACCGUUUCCCAUUCUUUACGGUUUUUCCUAUCACUCCUUAGACUAAGAAAGAAAAAUCUGUAGGAAUGAUUCGGUGGGAUUUCUCUUUUGUUCCUAAAUAAACCUUAUCCCUGGAUGAGCUCGUUCACACUAGGGAAGUUACUACCACUGGCUUUGAAGCCAGGCAGAUCUGGGUGUUCCUUCCCAUGUCUUUAUUUGCUUUGUGGGGGAUCUUUUCCCAGCCUUUCUGCUUUCAUCCUUCUUAGUGAGAGCUUCUUCAGCUGCAGAACAGGGGCAAUAAUGCCUACCUUGCUGGGUUGCAGCAGAGAAUGCUGCUUAUGCAGGAAAAUAAAAAAACACAUAGCACACAAUGGGAGCUUAAUACAUAAGAAUUAUAAACAGUCUUUUGUGUAUAUAUCAAUGUAUUUCAUGUCCUUAAUGUUUAUUUAAAGCAAGUACAUUCUUUUGAAUUAAGCAUAAAAAGGUCAUAAAAUGCCAGAGAUGUGCUUAUUUGAAAUGUUUGCAAUGCUUUGCAAUUGUUUUAAAAUAAGGAGAUGAUAUAACAGGGUGUUACCUCCGCCACUAAUUAGUUACGUAAUCUUAGAUUAUGUCACUUCCCUGGGUCUCAGUUGUAAACAGUUGCUUAAUAAAUAAUGUUUGUUUUGCUUUCAUCAAU